GACGAACGCUGGCGGCGUGCCUAAUACAUGCGAGUCGAACGAGAGCGCCCGGUGCUUGCACUGGUCAAUCUAGUGGCGAACGGGUGAGUAACACGUGGGUAACCUGCCCAUCAGAGGGGGAUAACAUCCGGAAACGGAUGCUAAAACCGCAUAGGUCUUCGAGCCGCAUGGCUUGAAGAGGAAAAGAGGCGCAAGCUUCUGCUGAUGGAUGGACCCGCGGUGCAUUAGCUAGUUGGUGAGGUAACGGCUCACCAAGGCCGUGAUGCAUAGCCGACCUGAGAGGGUGAUCGGCCACAUUGGGACUGAGACACGGCCCAAACUCCUACGGGAGGCAGCAGUAGGGAAUCUUCCGCAAUGGACGCAAGUCUGACGGAGCAACGCCGCGUGAGUGAAGAAGGUUUUCGGAUCGUAAAACUCUGUUGUUAGAGAAGAACAAGUGCUAGAGUAACUGUUAGCGCCUUGACGGUAUCUAACCAGAAAGCCACGGCUAACUACGUG
rnacentral:rRNA from 1 species